UACAUUAAGAUUUUUGCCUUUUCAAUUGCAGAAAACUAAUAAUUUUUUUCUUUUCUCCAAGAUGUCAUGAACAUGGGCUGCCUUGUCUCUGUGUUUUGUGUGGGUGCGUGUGUGUGUGUGUGUGUGUGUGUGAGAAACAACCACUACCACUGAGCCAUGUUGCCACACAAGACUCAUAUUUCCUUUAGUUAGAAUUGACAACAGAAAUCAAAGUAAAUACACAUGACAUGAUCACCAGGCUGUGUUUGUUAUAUAUCGUUUAACUUCUGACAUGAGCGGUAAUCCCAAAACUUUUUAAAAUCAAGGUCAACACAAAGUACAAAAAAACAGCAUACAAUGGAAUACAUAUCUACUUUCAGUUGACUUGGCACACUCUUUGAAAUUAAUGUUUUGUUUUUUAACCAUCACAAGAUUUCACAUUGAUUAAGUGACGCAAAGCACAAUGUCAUGAGGACAAACGGCCAAAUAAGUAAGCAUGAAUGACCAGUCGGUCAAUGUGUUGGAAUGAGUUCAGUUACCUCCAGGGUGGAGGAAAAUUUUUGCUGACUGCAGAACGUAAGAGUUAGCAAGCAAGCUCAGAAUUCGCCUUUAUCAAUGGAGGCCUGCGUGUCUUCCCUUGUGACGUAAUGGUAAUCUUUGCCAUUCUCUCCAGCUUGUGCAUUUCUUGUUGUAUGCGAGACGCUGAAGUCAAAGGCACCAUUGUCUUCUUCAUGAGCCUCUUGAGAAAAGUGCUUUUGCCUACCCCCCGACCAGACAGGCCGCUCUGCACUACGGGCCUAGGUCCAGUCAUAGUUGAGUAAAUCCUGGCAAAAUAUCUCAUACUCAUUGGCGAUUAUGUUCUGAAGACGCCCAUGAGGGAUUGCGUUCAUCCUAGUUUUAUUGAACGAAUGGCUAGAAAUACAAUACUGACUUCAUCAUGUCACCCGAUGUGAUUUUCUUUUAGUUUUGGGUCUGGAUUCUGUUCCAAAUUGAUUAGUAAAUUUCGAUUGCUGGGGAGACUGCAGUGUGACUCAGGCCACAAACAACAAAAGCAAGUGUACUUGUCAAGCUCAUUUGCAAUAGGAUGAGUGGGGUCAAAGCCUGUUUAGCGGGAUCAUCUGCCGUCUUGUAAAUGCACAAGAACAAUAUAAGAAGAGAUUGUUAUUCUUUGAGGAGGAUAAGAAAAGAUUAAGCCAUGCGGGUUCCUCGCUGUGUUUCUCACGUCGGUGGAGAAUGGAUAAUGUCCACCAUCCACCCUGUCGUACUUGUUAUUCCCAUGGGAAAAGACGAGUGCUGAUUUCCAGUAACAAAAGUGGACAUUUUUAAGUCAAUCAGCUCAUAAUUCAGUUUACCACUUUGCUGUAUUUAAUUUGUCACGGUAGCGUGUGCGUGUGUGUGUGUGUGUGUGUCCUCAAAGUUCGAUACUUUAAUCAACAAAAGUGCACAGUUUUAGUAUUUUGACAAUUGUCUUGUUUUGAUCACAAAUUCUAAUUAAUAAUCUAGAUCUCAUGACCCAAAUCCCCAGACAAUCUCUUACAAAGUGAUACCCUCUGUUAAAUUGGCAUGUAUUAUGCAUGCAGAAAAACACCAUUCCCGCCACCCCGCGCGACACCUAGCAGCUUAGCUUAGCGCUGACUUCAGAAGUGCCAGAUAAGUAUUUGUCAACACAACAGCUGGCACACAAUGCCCUCUUGUAGCUUUAUGCCACGGCAUAUGCCUGCCGCUCGUAGCGUGCCGUAAUUUAGCCGGGCCGCUUCUGCCUAAGCAGAUGGGCCUCGAGUAUUGUUAUUCUCGCUCCAGUUCGAGAGUCCCUGGGGGGAAUCACUAAAUAAAAUCAAAGCAGAUGGACCUCUCUGGGCUAAGGCUGUAUUUAUGAUAAACAGCCUGUACAACCAUUGUCCGUCAAACACCUUAACACACCUCUUUACUGACAAUGUGUGCCAAGUAAGACUGCAUCGGAACCUCCUUAGAUGGGUGAAAAAUCAAAAUGAUUCUUGCCUUUCGGACAGUACUUGAACAUUUGAAAGUGACUUUUGACAGGAAAGGAAACUUCUUUGCUGGUCCAUCAUGAGUCAAAAUGAUUUCCAAUCAGUAGUGUUCAUGAUUCGGAAUGAGCUAAACAAAAAUGGAAAGUUUGAAAAUACUCGCUAUGUACGUCAUAGUAAAUAGUCCUUGAAGCAGAGCUGCGGACUCACCAUUUGGUAAGAAAUGAGAAGGUACUUUCUUCCUCUCUGGUUCACAUUUUAUCACUUGUGUCCCAAAUAAGUUUGCACUAUCCUUAAGCAGCUACUAAUGUUAAUGCAAAGCAGUGGAGCUGCGGGCUCGCUCUCUGGCGUGACUACAAUCAUAAAUAAUUGUAUCAUAUUCCUUUUCAUACAUUUUGAAUGACCACUGAGUAAAAUGUGCUUACUUAUUAUACAUUUUUUGUCAAGUUCUUCCGUUUCAGCAAAGAGGCCUGUGACCAGUCUCAAGACAUAUACAGUAUAGUGCCUUUUGAAAGCACCAGCCAGCAUAUGUUGUUGCUCAUCGUAAGCCAGAUGGGCAUAAAUUGCAUACGGGCGUAAUGCGUAUCAAAUAUUUGAAAGUUGUAUCUUUCACUUAAGGUGCAAAGUGCUUUUAUGGCCCAUCACAGCUCUAAGUAUGACCCCCGGGGACUGGAGCCCAGCACCUGUGGUGUUAAGACAUUGCGGUGUGGGCGGGGGAGGGCUGCAAAGUGCAUUUGUUUCAUCUACCUGUUUGCCCUUUAUUGACUACCACCUUUGACACUUGGUAAUUUAUCGGAUGCACGCUGCCUACUGCUUUAAAUAUGGACAUAGCUUUUGUGUGUGCGUGUGUUUGUUUGUUUCCAGAUAGAUUUUAUUUGUAAAUUUUCCGUUCAGAAUUCAGUCCAGCGGUGUAUCAUCUCAGCAGGAUUGUGACAUAACAGCUGGCAUGUGUACUUUUGGCUUUAGGUGAGAUGCAUAUUGCCCCAAAACCUAACAGUCUCGUCUGUGCUCUUACAAAAAUAGCCUUUAAAAAAAUGCUUACAGAUGAUUUGAUUUGUAUGUGCACAGGCGGCCGAAAGUUUCAACCUUCUUCUGCGAACAACACACGUCAAACUCAGGUCCUCUGUCCUCCUCAAGAUGGAACAUAUCAACAUUCAAAAUCCGUUGUGUAUCGGGUAUUGGCAGGUAACAAAACACCAGCCCAUCAUGCCAUUCCACGAAGCGUCGCUUCAGCGCCACCCGCCCGCCGCAACACGCGGCGCUUUGCAAGUCAAUACAGUCAAGAGAAGCUGACAAGAGGCAAGGCGCAACGUGUAAUAAAUGACAUUUUGCCGUCAGCUCUGGCGAGCGUGCACCUGACAACCGCUGUCGUCCGCAGUCGUUUUCAUGUGACGCCUGGCUGUUAUGCGGAAAGUGGGAUUCAUUUGGCGGGACUGUCUGGCGCAGAUGCUGAUAUUACAAAUGGGCACAGCUGGAAAAGAUCCACCACCCAGGCAGACAGAGCCAGGCUCGCACCUCUCACCGCUGAUACCUCCCCCAAGCACUGGCAUCUCUCCUCCUCCCUGCUACAUGAUGCUCAUGCUCAUUCGCCGACGAAAACCCGUCUUCUCCUACGAGACAACUACUGGAGCAGACUGUUACACUGAGAAUGUGUCAGCUCUGUGAGUCCCGCUCCAAAAAGCAGCUGGAUGCCCGUCCGCCACACCCUGUUCGCCUCCUCUCAUUGGUCAGGACACUUUUUGCAGUCAAAUGGAAGGCCAGAGCACGCAUUUGGACGCCCAACCUCAGAACUACCAUAUUGCAUCUGGCCCAACCACUUCACCCCCUAAAAGCCAGGCAUCACGUGGCUGGCGCUAUCGUGUAUUGCACGACUCUGGCUUGUCAAGGUGGAAACCACCCGGUGUGCUGACACUUGCCCUCUGCGCCGCCUCAGUGACAGUAAUUUUAACGCAGCCGGGGCGGAGCGGUCCCGGAGGUGCGCCAUUAAAGUUCAGGUGAGGUUAAUUGCCGAGCAUUGUGAUGCCUGCUGCCGCGCGCCGGGGUGGCGGGUGGUUUGUUGACGCCUCCGAUUGACGAUUCAGACAUGUCGCUACUCCCGCCGGCUAGCACAGCGGGGGUUCGACCGUGGCUUUACACGGCAAAAGGCCUCCUGAUGUCAAUCAUUCCCAAACAUGCCUCCAAAUGAAAGUCCAAGAGAAAAUACUGCCCAUUCACUGCACAGCAGCAUGUGAUUCACCACAGCGGUCAAUCACAGUUCCACCGCAGUCUGUUGUGUGACACGAGCCAAACCGCCACUUUCAAACAACAUUUUUAUCCAUCCAUCAGAUGUGGAUGCUUAGCUGGAUCCUAUCCCAGCUGACUUUGGCUGAGGAUCCUCCCAGAACCGCUCUCCAACCAAUCGCAGGUCACUAAUAGACAAACAACCGUUGAAACUCAUGUUCACACGUCAGGACAAUUUAUUCAAUGAAUGGAGUACCAAUUUUUUGGUGGAGGCCGUAGUACUCAGAGAAAGGCCACACAGUAAAGUUGGAGCCAGGAUUCAAACCCUCAAAUUCACUUUCCGCAAUUCUGUUACAAAAAAAGAAAAAAAAAUGCUUUAAUUUAAUUCCCAAUUGGAAUUAAGGUACAUCGAUACCUCGACUUAGGAAAUUAAUUGGUUCAGGAAGAAUUUUUUUUUACAAGAUUUUGUAAGUAAACGCAUUUUCCAUGCAAAUGUCCU